CUCCGAGAAGGAAUGGAGAGAUCCACGGUCAGGAUUCACAUGGUCCAAGGCUCCGGUAUCAAACAUCAUCCACUGUGAGGAUGGAGAGGGUAAAAUUCAAGACGAGUUAGCUAGAGCGUCGAGAGAUGUGGAUGAUACGUCACCAGUUGAUGAACUCGAGGUACUCAAAAGUGCCUUGGGUCAUAGGAAUGGGCACGUACGCGGUGUUGGUCGUGUUGUUAAAAAUGUCACCCACGAAAUAUCGAGCUCAUACCCCCCGCCAAGACAACAACAACAAUUGGAAGAAAUGCAAGAAGAAAUGCAACAAAUGCGACAAGAAAUACAAGAAAUGCGACAACAACAACAACAACAAGUGCAAGUGCAACCAUUCUCAAACCAAGCAAUAAUGGAACUACUACAACAACAACAACAACAUGCGUUUCAAAUGCAACAAAUGGAAGCACAAUUUCAAUGCCGACUUAAUGAAUUGAAACGAAAAAUGCGUCAAGUUGACGAAGAUGAUGAUUAGACUUACAUAUGUGCAUUAAACUUUUAAUUUGAAGUUUGUACUCGAUAACUAUGACGAAUAUUUUGUAUUUUGAAUCUUUAGUAUAAUAUGUAGUUUUGAAA